rnacentral:rRNA from 1 species
AGUGAACGCUGGCGGUAGGCCUAACACAUGCAAGUCGAACGGCAGCACAGUAAGAGCUUGCUCUUACGGGUGGCGAGUGGCGGACGGGUGAGGAAUACAUCGGAAUCUACUUUUUCGUGGGGGAUAACGUAGGGAAACUUACGCUAAUACCGCAUACGACCUACGGGUGAAAGCAGGGGAUCUUCGGACCUUGCGCGAUUCAAUGAGCCGAUGUCGGAUUAGCUAGUUGGCGGGGUAAAGGCCCACCAAGGCGACGAUCCGUAGCUGGUCUGAGAGGAUGAUCAGCCACACUGGAACUGAGACACGGUCCAGACUCCUACGGGAGGCAGCAGUGGGGAAUAUUGGACAAUGGGCGCAAGCCUGAUCCAGCCAUACUGCGUGGGUGAAGAAGGCCUUCGGGUUGUAAAGCCCUGUUGUUGGGAAAGAAAAGCAGCAGGUUAAUACCCCGCUGUUCUGACGGUACCCAAAGAAUAAGCACCGGCUAACUUCGUG